GAUGAACGCUGGCGGCGUGCCUAAUACAUGCAAGUCGAGCGAACAGAUGAGGAGCUUGCUCCUCUGACGUUAGCGGCGGACGGGUGAGUAACACGUGGAUAACCUACCUAUAAGACUGGGAUAACUUCGGGAAACCGGAGCUAAUACCGGAUAAUAUAUUGAACCGCAUGGUUCAAUAGUGAAAGACGGUUUUGCUGUCACUUAUAGAUGGAUCCGCGCCGCAUUAGCUAGUUGGUAAGGUAACGGCUUACCAAGGCAACGAUGCGUAGCCGACCUGAGAGGGUGAUCGGCCACACUGGAACUGAGACACGGUCCAGACUCCUACGGGAGGCAGCAGUAGGGAAUCUUCCGCAAUGGGCGAAAGCCUGACGGAGCAACGCCACGUGAGUGAUGAAGGUCUUCGUAUCGUAAAACUCUGUUAUUAGGGAAGAACAAAUGUGUAAGUAACUAUGCACGUCUUGACGGUACCUAAUCAGAAAGCCACGGCUAACUACGUG
rnacentral:rRNA from 1 species